AAUAUAUAACGCAGAAACAUCAUUGCUUCAGAUGAAUAGACACAUACUUGACCUAGAUAGUAUGACAUCUGGAGGGCAUGUAAGAUCUGAGUAUUGGAAUUGGAGGUAUCAGAAAAUGGAGAUAGUGAGGACAGUACUCUAUUGGAAGUAUGUUCAUCAUGAUCAGUUGGCGAUUUUUCGAUCUGUUGCAACAAUUAUUUAUU
rnacentral:lncRNA from 1 species